rnacentral:rRNA from 1 species
AACGCUAGCUACAGGCUUAACACAUGCAAGUCGAACGAAUACUGGAUUCGUCUGGUAUUAGUGGCAAACGGGUGAGUAACACGUAUCCAACCACCCUGCGACUCGGGGAUAGCCUCUUGAAAGGGAGAUUAAUACCCGAUGUACUGUUUUUGGUGCAUGCCAUUUUCAGUAAAGUUUUUUUACGGUCGCUGACGGGGAUGCGUUCCAUUAGAUAGUCGGUGUGGUAACGGCUCACCGAGUCUAUGAUGGAUAGGGGUUCUGAGAGGAAGGUCCCCCACAUUGGAACUGCGACACGGUCCAAACUCCUACGGGAGGCAGCAGUGAGGAAUAUUGGUCAAUGGGCGCAAGCCUGAACCAGCUAUGUAGCGUGAAGGAUGACUGCCCUAUGGGUUGUAAACUUCUUUUGUUCGGGAAUAACAGACUUCACUUGUGGAGUUUUGCAUGUACCGUUCGAAUAAGGAUCGGCUAACUCCGUGCCAGCAGCCGCGGUAAUACGGAGGAUCCUAGCGUUAUCCGGAUUUAUUGGGUUUAAAGGGAGCGUAGGCGGGGGGUCAAGUCAGCUGUGAAAUACGUACGCUUAACGUUCGUCUUGCAGUUGAAACUGGUUUUCUUGAGUGCGUAUGAGGCAGGCGGAAUUCGUGGUGUAGCGGUGAAAUGCUUAGAUAUCACGAAGAACUCCGAUUG